GACGAACGCUGGCGGCGUGCUUAACACAUGCAAGUCGAACGCUGAAGCUCAGCUUUUGUUGGGUGGAUGAGUGGCGAACGGGUGAGUAACACGUGAGUAACCUGCCCCCUUCUUUGGGAUAACGCCCGGAAACGGGUGCUAAUACUGGAUAUUCACUGGUCUUCGCAUGGGGGUUGGUGGAAAGGGUUUUUCUGGUGGGGGAUGGGCUCGCGGCCUAUCAGCUUGUUGGUGGGGUGAUGGCCUACCAAGGCUUUGACGGGUAGCCGGCCUGAGAGGGUGAACGGUCACAUUGGGACUGAGAUACGGCCCAGACUCCUACGGGAGGCAGCAGUGGGGAAUAUUGCACAAUGGGCGCAAGCCUGAUGCAGCGACGCCGCGUGAGGGAUGGAGGCCUUCGGGUUGUGAACCUCUUUCGCUAAUGGUCAAGCCGCAACAAUGGUUGUGGUGAGGGUAGUGGGUAAAGAAGCGCCGGCUAACUACGUG
rnacentral:rRNA from 1 species